UACGUAGGGUGCGAGCGUUAAUCGGAAUUACUGGGCGUAAAGCGUGCGCAGGCGGUUAUGUAAGACAGAUGUGAAAUCCCCGGGCUUAACCUGGGACUGCGUUUGUGACUGCAUAACUAGAGUACGGCAGAGGGGGGUGGAAUUCCUGGUGUAGCAGUGAAAUGCGUAGAUAUCAGGAGGAACAUCGAUGGCGAAGGCAGCCCCCUGGGCCUGUACUGACGCUCAUGCACGAAAGCGUGGGGAGCAAACAGG
rnacentral:rRNA from 1 species